ACAGGCUAUGAACACUGAACUAAAUAAACGAGCCGAUCGAUGGUAAUAGUAGUUUCUCCUCUGAUUUCAAUAAUCAAAGAUCAGGUUUGUGUUCUGAACUCUCAAGGAAUCGCUGCCGCAUACCGGAUCAAAGUGAGACGGAGGAACUCCUGAAACUUGUGUUUUUUGGCUCAGAGAAAUGCCGAUGCCUACUUCAAGCAGCAUCGUUCCUGCGAGCGUCUCAUUGGAAUGAAUGUUGAUGAGGUCCACAACACGGUUCAGAGGGCGAGGUUGAACUUCUCAGCCAACUUACCUGAUCAAUAAAGGACGGCUUUGAGGCGGCAGCGGAUGAGGUAGAGGCUGCGCCACGUGGAACAUUCCUCCCCUCUCUCCCCGGAUCAGCGCUUCAAUGUUCUCAUCUCCUACCCCUAUUUUAUUACUAGCUUCCUCCCUCUUCCUCCCGUCCUCCUUCCGUCCUCCCCUCCCAACAUGUCAGGCUAACGCUGUACACUUAAUCUGUAUGGUUGGUGUUAGCAGGAUGCUAGGCUAAUGGCUAGCUCUGAACAGGUCAUCUGUGUGGGAGUGUUAGCAGGAUGCUAUGCUAAAGGCUAAUGUAAAUUAGAUGACAGGGUAGCACAGAGCAUGGAUCUAUAGCGCCCUCUAUCUGUAGAGGCAGGUAACAACAAAACUCACUAUUCUCUGAACCCAAUAAAAUUGUGUCAUGAUUGUCUCAGAUGAGGGGAGAAUAAAGACUCACUGGUCCAGUUCAGCAUCAGGGUCCAGUACCUACCAUGUACAUAUGAUCAGGGAGAUCGUUGAAGAAUCACUUUGGAAUUGGACGUCGGGAAAUGCCUUCAGAACCGGCCACUGGGGCAACAGUGAGCGUUAUUACCCUCGGGUUUUUACCAUGGCACUGAGGACAAGGGUGGUAGAGUUAACUGUAACUAAACAUAACCUUUCAUUUAAAAAUGUUGAAGUUUGGAGCAACGGGACAAUACAACAGCAGAGUGUCAAACUACGGACAUUGGGAUAAACGCCUAGUUCUGCAGUGAUGCUUGUUGCAUAUGAUGUCAUAUCAGUCCCUGCAUUAACAAUAUGGACCAGUACCAGAACCAUCUCAGUCCAUUAGGACUCAACAUAACUCAUGUAGGGAGCAGAGAGACAGGUCUGUUCAGCAGAGAGACAGGUCUGUUCAGUAGGGAGCAGAGAGACAGGUCUGUUCAGCAGAGAGACAGGUCUGUUCAGUAGGGAGCAGAGGGACAGGUCUGUUCAGUAGGGAGCAGAGAGACAGGUCUGUUCAGUAGGGAGCAGAGAGACAGGUCUGUUCAGUAGGGAGCAGAGAGACAGGUCUGUUCAGCAGAGAGACAGGUCCGUUCAGUAGGGAGCAGAGAGACAGGUCUGUUCAGCAGGGAGCAGAGAGACAGGUCUGUUCAGUAGAGAGACAGGUCUGUUCAGUAGGGAGCAGAGAGACAGGUCUAUUCAGUAGGGAGCAGAGAGACAGGUCUGUUCAGUAGGGAGCAGAGAGACAGGUCUGUUCAGUAGGGAGCAGAGACAGGUCUGUUCAGCAGAGAGACAGGUCUGUUCAGUAGGGAGCAGAGAGACAGGUCUGUUCAGUAGGGAGCAGAGAGACAGGUCUGUUCAGUAGGGAGCAGAGAGACAGGUCUGUUCAGUAGGGAGCAGAGAGACAGGUCUGUUCAGUAGGGA